GGAAAUCCUCAUUGUUAGCGAAACAUAAACAGAGAAAAUUCAAAGGCACGGUUUAAGCCUUUGGAGUUUGGUCUUAAGAAACCCACACGAACGAUCUCCCAUUGUUGCAAUAUUCUCUUCGAUUUUUUCCCUUUGGAAAUCUGACUUGCUUCCAAACUUGCUGGAGAGAGAGGGAGGGAGAUUGCCAUAAUAUAUGGCGAUCUUUGAAGCGAAACAGGGAAUGUAUGGAUUCUGGUAUUGCUUAUUAUUGCUUUUGGUUUACACGAGGGUUUGUUCGUCCGCGAGAUCUGACAAGGAGAUUAGGGAGCGGUUUUACGGGAAUUUGUUGAAUUCCUCUGCGCCUGAUAAUGGAGAAGGCAGUAUAGCCAAAAUGUUUGAUCGAGUUCUGGAGAAAGAGUUCUCCGAAAAUGAUCAGCCUGAAGGUUCUGAUGGAAGCAGCUUCAACAGCAGUGUAGCUGAUCAACAGGCUGUAUUGGAGACUGUAGCUAAAAUCACUCAUGAGAAGGCCAAGAAAAAUGAUACACAAGUGGCUAAUGGAACAAAAUCAUUCCAGUUUCCAAAUGUAUUUUCACUUGAAAAUGAAGAUUCUGAGGACAUGACAACUCUUAUUGACAAAAAGGACAAUGUAUUUGUGAUGUCAAACAAGAAAUCCAAGUACCCAAUACUUCAAGUAGAUUUGAGAUUAAUUUCAGAUCUGGUUGUUGUCAUAGUUUCUGCUGCCAUUGGUGGAAUUGUUUUUUCUUGUUUGGGACAGCCGGUCAUUGUGGGCUAUCUUCUUGCUGGUUCGAUUAUUGGACCAGGGGGUCUGAAAUUCAUUAGUGAGAUGGUACAGGUUGAAACUGUGGCGCAGUUUGGUGUUGUGUUCCUUCUUUUUGCUUUAGGGCUGGAGUUUUCUUUGACAAAGUUAAAAGUUGUGGGGCCUGUUGCUGUUCUUGGAGGGCUACUUCAAAUUGUGAUAUUUAUGUUCUUGUGUGGCAUAACUGCUGUGUUUUGUGGAGCUAAGUUGUCUGAGGGUGUUUUUGUGGGUUCCUUCCUGUCAAUGUCAUCGACAGCAGUGGUGGUGAAAUUUUUAGUUGAACGGAAUAGUAGUAGUGCUCUUCAUGGUCAAGUCACAAUUGGAACGCUUAUAUUUCAGGAUUGUGCUGUUGGUUUGUUAUUUGCUUUGCUUCCUGUCUUGGGUGGCAGCAGCGGGCUGGCACAAGGAAUGGUUUCAAUGGGCAAACUGCUGUUGGUGUUGUCCAUAUUCCUCACUGUUGCAUCUAUAUUGUCUUGGUCAUUUGUGCCUCGUUUUCUUAAGUUAAUGAUACAGCUAUCAUCUCAAACAAAUGAACUUUAUCAGCUUGCUGCGGUGGCCUUCUGCUUAUUAUCUGCUUGGUGCAGCGACAAGCUUGGCCUUAGUCUUGAGUUGGGUUCAUUUGUGGCUGGAGUUAUGAUAUCUACCACUGACUUCGCACAACAUACCUUAGACCAGGUGGAACCAAUUCGUAACUUGUUUGCGGCUCUCUUCCUUUCUAGUAUUGGAAUGCUCAUACAUGUACAUUUUCUGUGGAACCAUGUGGAUAUAUUGCUAGCAUCUGUGAUUCUCGUUAUAGUGGUUAAGACAGCUGUUGCUGCUAUGGUUACUAAAGCCUUUGGUUAUGGCAUGAGGACAUCGUUCCACGUUGGAGUAUUGCUUGCUCAAAUUGGAGAACUUGCUUUUGUUCUCCUAAGCCGUGCCUCAAAUCUUCAUCUUGUUGAGGUGACCUCUCUUUCCUAUUCCUUUGUUUGUCUAUUUUAGAUAUGAUAUUGUAAUGUUAGAGAUUCCCAAGUUGAUAUAUGUGCAUGGCACAUGUGUGUUUAUAUAUAACUUGGUUGAUGCUUAACCUUGUUCAUGGUUUUUUUAGGGAAAGAUGUAUCUUCUUCUUCUUGGAACAACAGCUCUUAGUCUGGUAACAACUCCUCUUUUAUUCAAAUUGAUACCUAAUGUCAUGAAUUUGGGGGUUCUAUUGCAAUGGUUUCCAUCAGAAAGCAGCAUGCAGAAUGAGGAUAGAGCUUCCAUGAUUGAAACGCAUAACAGAUUGUUGUGACCUCGCAUGUUUUACAAUCUGGACAUAUGAGGGGGUAAAGUUAAAGGCCUCAGUAAUUUGUAAAUAUAUGGGUUUCUCCUCGCUGCCAAGUCCAUGGUCGAGAUUUCAGAUGGCACGUCAGAAUUUCAGUUCCAUUAACAAUUUAGCCCAAAGUUCGCAUUCAUAUACAUAUAAUCUUCAUAUUCUUUGAAUAGUGUGUAUAUAUAUGUAUUUUUUUUUAGCCCACUUAGCUGUAUUUUUUGGCAUUUUGUUGCCCAAGAGCCAUAGUUUUGCUCAAUUACUUGAUUUUGUGACCUAAAAUUCAUAUUUUGUAGGAGGAAAAAGAAAUGGGUAAGCGACAAGGUAAAAGAGUAAUUGUGAGUGCCUAAUAUAGGCUUGUCAUGGUUUGGUUUGUUGGUCAUGUUUUUGUGGGUUGAAAUUGGAAUUGAAAUUGGACGUGCGAAUUGUAGUAUAAUUUAAGGUCAUAUUUGGUAUGGUUUACAAAAUUGUAAUGUAGCUGUGAUUAUAUUGAAUAUUUGAUUAUAUUGUUUAAUAAUAUAA
rnacentral:misc_RNA from 1 species